AGACAUCACAUUCUUAUUUUUUUUUCCUUAGGAUAAGAACGUUCUCAAAUAAAGCUGGGUUGCAGUACCACAUAUCACCGUUAGGUGCUGCUACUUGACAGUAUAGUAAAGGGAUUGAAAUCUAAACAAAAUCUUUUUCCUUCCUCCCUUUUUUUUUCUUUUGUGCUUGUUGACUGUCAAGCCCUAUACUAUACUCUGCAGAUACUGCAAUAAACAAGACAAAAAGUCUUAUGAAGCAGAUGAGUCAUUACUAUAGGAAGUGAGUUUAGAAGAGAGCUUCUAUUUCGAGUUUAUGCUGAAGUAGGUGAGACAUGAGAAAGCCCAUCUAUGUGGAACCUGAAGGCCAACCUCAGAGGAACCUGUUGUCUCUCCUCCAGGAACUCAUCUGUGUCCAGGAAGAUGCUUGUUCUAUUCUAAUCAGAAGCCAGUGGGUGCUGGCCUGCUGGCUGGCUGUAAACCGGAGAAUGAGCGGAGGCCAGGGAGUGUGAGCAUAUCUUCAGGGGCCAGCGUCUAGUGCCAUAUCUGGCAGAAAUAAACUCAAUAAAUACUCAUCAACUGAAAGAAAGGAAAAUCCAGAGUAGGUCAGAAAUGCGUGGAUGGCAUUGCUUGUAUUUCCUACAACGACUGCCUUCAAGGUUCUGAAGCAUAGCAAGACUUUGGAGUGCUUGAAGAAUCAUGAACAAAGAAGGCAUCAUCCAAGGAGACCAGAGUGAGGCAAAUAUAACCAGCAAAAUUUUACUCGUGGAAUUGUUUAAGAGCUUGGAAAUUGGCUGUUGAUUUGUGUUAGAUAAUAACUCCAUGUAUGUGUGGCCCUGCAAUCUCAGCCUCCGCCAUUCUGGAUAACCAAAUUAUACUAUUUAUACUACCUGAUAUUCAUUUUAAUUCCAGUUUGGGUUUUUCAUGUGCUUUAUGAUUCCACCAUAUGUCAAGACACGCUCAUGUGGCAACUGCCACAGCAGCAUGGUGAAGUGGAUGAUUCCUUGGACAGUGGGGCAGUAGGGUGAGGAGCCUGGGCUUGGGGAUGGGGACUGCAAGGCAGCUCAGAGCCAUGGGAAACCUGGCUCUGUACUCGGAGAGACUCAGCUUCCAAACUUUGCCUUUUCUGAUUAUAAGACUUUGAGGAAGUUACUUAACUAUGAUUACUGAAACCAGAAUAUUUGGAAAGAAAUCAAUGUUUACUGUGGCCAAUCAUACUGAAUCAGUGCAGUCGGAGGAGUGGUGGCAUGUGGAUGUCCUGUUGCCUGUUAGAUGUGCACAUAUUUAUAUGAACUGUGUGACCUUUUUGUUUCCUUUCUUAGGGAUGUGAGGAGAGAAACCCUAAGGUCAGGCAUAGUUUCAAUUGUGCUAGUUCCGGAGUUUGGAAGGGCCUAUUCAAUGAACAGGCCAGAUAGACCUUUCUUUUAGACAUGAAAGAUUUAUGACCUGUUCAGCCGAGAGCCCCACCACAAAAACCUCAUUGAGCUUGUUACACAUUAUCUUCCAAAUAUCAGCCCAGAUUAAAGGACUGUCUGGC
rnacentral:lncRNA from 1 species